rnacentral:rRNA from 1 species
AGAGUUUGAUCCUGGCUCAGGACGAACGCUGGCGGCAUGCCUAACACAUGCAAGUCGAACGGAGGUAUGGGCUUCGGCCCAUGCCUUAGUGGCGAACGGGUGAGUAACACGUGAGCAACCUGCCCCGUACUACGGGAUAACACUAAGAAAUUAGUGCUAAUACGGUAUAUGACCACACCGAGGCAUCUCGGAGGGGUAAAAGCGUUUAGCGGUACGGGAUGGGCUCGCGGCCAAUUAGCUAGUUGGUGAGGUAACGGCCCACCAAGGCGACGAUUGGUAGCCGACUUGAGAGAGUGAUCGGCCACACUGGAACUGAGACACGGUCCAGACUCCUACGGGAGGCAGCAGUGGGGAAUAUUGGGCAAUGGAGGAAACUCUUACCCAGCAAUGCCGCGUGAGUGAAGAAGGUCUUCGGAUUGUAAAGCUCUUUGAUUGGGGACGAAUUAAUGACGGUACCCAAGGAACAAGCCCCGGCUAACUAUGUGCCAGCAGCCGCGGUAAUACAUAGGGGGCGAGCGUUGUCCGGAAUGACUGGGCGUAAAGGGUGUGUAGGCGGCUUCGCAAGUUGGAAGUGUAAUACCUAGGGCUUAACUCAGGUGCUGCUUCCAAAACUGCGAGGCUUGAGUGUCGGAGAGGAAGAUGGAAUUCCUAGUGUAGCGGUGGAAUGCGUAGAUAUUAGGAGGAACACCAGAGGCGAAAGCGAUCUUCUGGACGAUAACUGACGCUGAGGCACGAAAGCGUGGGGAGCAAACAGGAUUAGAUACCCUGGUAGUCCACGCCGUAAACGAUGGAUACUAGGUGUAGGGGGUAUCGACUCCC